rnacentral:rRNA from 1 species
AACGCGAAGAACCUUACCUGGGCUCGAAAUGCUAUGGAUCAGCUGGUGAAAGCCGGCCUUCCCGCAAGGGACUGUAGUAUAGGUGCUGCAUGGCUGUCGUCAGCUCGUGUCGUGAGAUGUUGGGUUAAGUCCCGCAACGAGCGCAACCCUUGUCCUGUGUUGCCAUCAUUCAGUUGGGAACUCGCAGGAGACCGCCAGGGAUAACCUGGAGGAAGGUGGGGAUGACGUCAAGUCCUCAUGGCCUUUAUGUCCAGGGCUACACACGUGCUACAAUGGACGGUACAAAGGGCUGCCAACCCGCAAGGGGGAGCCAAUCCCAAAAAACCGUUCUCAGUUCGGAUUGCAGGCUGCAACUCGCCUGCAUGAAGCUGGAAUCGCUAGUAAUGGCGGAUCAGAACGCCGCCGUGAAUACGUUCCCGGGCCUUGUA